GUGAAAUUGUUGAAAGGGAAACGAUUGAAGUCAGUCGUGCCGUUGAGAAAUCAACUUAGCGAGUUUCAGUUUUUGAAUCAGAGAUAGGGUCAAACUAUCACAGUUUUUAAAUUGGGACUUGUUGGGUAUACUUUCUUUUUGGCAGGUCAGCGUCAAUUUUGGGGUUGUAAAAUGACUAGGAGAAUGUAGCUCCUUUCGGGGAGUGUUAUAGAUCCUGGGGGAUGCAACCUGCGGGAUCGAGGAUUGCAGCAAAUGCUUUUGGCUUGUCACCUUUCUCCCUAUUGGUGAUAAUAUUAUUGACACUUUGUGGGAUUGGGCAGUUAUUGGUUAGAGUGAUCUAAAAUUUGCUAAGGAUGCUGACGUAAUGGCUUUAAACGAC
rnacentral:rRNA from 1 species